CCCUUCUCUUUUAAGCACCCUGCUCAAACUGCAGAAGCCCAGCCUACCAGGCUUGGCUCAUGUGGGUGUGUAAGCAUGGGUAAACCAGGGAAGGAGACUAAAAUACACAGCGUCUGAAUUGAGGCCCAGAGGGACCGCUUUCUUAAUGUCUAAUGUCUGUUGUCUCAAGAGGUUGUGUUACAUCA